GCUGUUCAGCCUGGAGAAGAGAAGGCUUCAGGGAGACUAUAGAACACCUUCCAGUACCUGAAGGGAGAGCUGGAAAGGGACACUGAACAGGAGUAUGAAGUGGUAGGAGAAGAGUUUAUGGUUUUAAAAUGAAAGAGGGUAGAUUUGGAUUGGAAAUUAGGAAGAAAUUUUUUACUGUGAAGGUGGUGAGGCACUGAAACAGGUUGUCCAGAGAAGCUGUGAAUGCCUCGUCCCUGGAAGUGUUCAAGACCAACCUGGAUGGGGUUUAGAGCAACCUGGUCUAGUGGAAGGUGUCCUUGCCCCCAGCAGGGGGGUUGGAACUAGAUGACAUCUAAUGUCCUGACCUACCCAUACCAUUCCAUGAUUCUGUGAAGUCAAAACAGAGGACUAUUCAGCUCUCAUGUCUUCCAGGCCAGGCUUUGGAUAAGUGAAUUUUCUCUGCCUGUUUUUCUUCCUCAGCUACAAAUGGAGUUAAAGGUGAUUGGCAAGGACUAAAACUCUGGAGCAAGCUGAGGACAAAGAGGGGAUGAAAAUGAUCUGGGUGACUCCUUCUGCAGGAUUUAUUCUGGGCUGUGUUGGACCACAGAAUACUGUCUUGUCCCUGGAGAAAAAAGAAUCAGAAUGAAAGGUUAUAAUGCAAAUCUGUAAUGCUGCAGAAGUGACAGAGAACAAAGACACAUUCCUGAAGACCUGUCAGAAAAGCAAAUAAAACUAAGAGCUGUUCUGAGACUUCUACAAGACGAUAGAAAACCAUCUUCUUCCUCUUUCUCCACUCUUCAAGCCGCCAGCUCACUGGUUGAAGUUGAUGCCCUGGAGGGUUCUGGAUGAUGUACCAUAACAGAAGAGGUGUAAGACACUGUCCAUUGGUCAGUCUCCAGGAUGAAAAAUCUGGAGGCUGUUGGUGACAAUCCAAGUCACCAGCCUUGGGCUUCUGCCUCUGCAGCUUCCUUCUCCACAGCUUUGGGGCUCUGGAGAGGGUAGCUAUCAGUUUUCCAAGGAAACAAAGGAAAAGAAGAUGAAAUAGUUGUCAAGCAUUGCAUUGUACCAUGCCAUGAAUUUUCCUUCCUACAGGCUGAAAAGAAACCACUGAAUUAUAUCAUAACUGUCAAGUGUCCUGUUUUUAGUUUGUUGCUCAAACACAAUAAAAUUAUUUAAUAUACAAAAGCUAUCAUGCACAGCCAGUCGGUCUUUCCUUCAGCAAUAUAUAGAGGAAAACAAGGAAUGAGAAACACACCUGAAAAUGGUGAAACAUUGACAGUAGAACACUGGAGAAUAUUGUAAUAGAUCAUAUUUACGACAAAA